AGAGUUUGAUCCUGGCUCAGGAUGAACGCUGGCGGCGUGCCUAAUACAUGCAAGUCGAGCGAACAGACGAGGAGCUUGCUCCUCUGACGUUAGCGGCGGACGGGUGAGUAACACGUGGAUAACCUACCUAUAAGACUGGGAUAACUUCGGGAAACCGGAGCUAAUACCGGAUAAUAUAUUGAACCGCAUGGUUCAAUAGUGAAAGACGGUUUUGCUGUCACUUAUAGAUGGAUCCGCGCCGCAUUAGCUAGUUGGUAAGGUAACGGCUUACCAAGGCAACGAUGCGUAGCCGACCUGAGAGGGUGAUCGGCCACACUGGAACUGAGACACGGUCCAGACUCCUACGGGAGGCAGCAGUAGGGAAUCUUCCGCAAUGGGCGAAAGCCUGACGGAGCAACGCCGCGUGAGUGAUGAAGGUCUUCGGAUCGUAAAACUCUGUUAUUAGGGAAGAACAAAUGUGUAAGUAACUAUGCAC
rnacentral:rRNA from 1 species